rnacentral:lncRNA from 1 species
UUGAAAUUGAGAGCAAGUCUACGACAUCCCAACCUAAUAUUUUUCCAAAAGAUAAUAGAUCUCCCUUUCGGAAUUAAAAUCUUGAUCCGUAGUUGAAUGCAUUCGCAGAAUCAAUACCCCUUUCCAAAACCUAGAAACUGAGAGAAUAUCAAAACUUAUAAGCAUCCACAUUACAACCCUAUUAUUUCUUUUUAUGAUCAAGCGAGUCCAACUCUCACCCUUCUCAAUCCAAUAUGUCACCAAUAAUUAAUUCUUGAUUCAUGUCCCAUUAGUUCAAAAUUCCCAGGAUUCUGUAUUCGUUCUUGUAAAUGCUUUCUGGAAGAUAAAUAGUGAGGGGCACCCUAUACCUGUUGACUCAGUUCUUUCCAAAGGAGUCAACACCUUAUAUUAACCAACUUAUCAAUUACAAACUAGAAGGACAUAUACAAUGUGGAAAUUGCUUGAAUAUAACUGUUGAUCCUAAAGGAUUGUUUUUGAUGAUACAAAACAGUUGAGUCAAAAGUUGAAUAAUUAAUUGCUUUGAGUUUAAUUGAUAAAUUUUAGAAAGAAAGAAGAAAGUCUUCAGCCACUCUCAAGUGAAAAUCAUCGAUCCAUCUGAAGCUCCACAUCAAGAAGCUGAACUUCAAAAGGCUAUGCAAAUAUUCUUUGGAAGCUCACAUACAACCAUAGAAAAUUUCAUCCUGAGCUACCUAAAGAGUCGACCCUAAGAUUGCAACGAGUCGACUCCGGCACACUGUCACUCACCGAUAUGCCUUCAUGAGCCAACUCCAGCAAAUCGCAUGUUGACCCUAUAACAGUCUUACAGGACAGAAAGCCAAAGAAUUUCUCACGUUGAUGAGUUGAACCAUGAAGUACUCGAGCCGCCUC